AUAUUGGACAAUGGGCGCAAGCCUGAUCCAGCAAUACCGCGUGUGUGAAGAAGGCCUGAGGGUUGUAAAGCACUUUUAAUCGGGAGGAACAUCUACGGGCUAAUACCCCGUAGUCUGACAUUACCGAUAGAAAAAGCACCGGCUAACUCCGUGCCAGCAGCCGCGGUAAUACGGAGGGUGCGAGCGUUAAUCGGAAUUACUGGGCGUAAAGCGUGCGUAGGCGGCUGAUUAAGUCAGAUGUGAAAGCCCCGGGCUUAACCUGGGAACUGCAUUUGAUACUGGUCAGCUAGAGUUGAGUAGAGGAGAGGGGAAUUUCCGGUGUAGCGGUGAAAUGCGUAGAGAUCGGAAGGAACACCAGUGGCGAAGGCGCCUCUCUGGACUCAAACUGACGCUGAGGUACGAAAGCGUGGGUAGCAAACAGG
rnacentral:rRNA from 1 species